rnacentral:rRNA from 1 species
AGAGUUUGAUUCUGGCUCAGAUUGAACGCUGGCGGAAUGCUUUACACAUGCAAGUCGAGCGGCAGCGCGGGGGCAACCCUGGCGGCGAGCGGCGAACGGGUGAGUAACAUAUCGGAACGUACCCUAUCGUGGGGGAUAACACAGCGAAAGCUGUGCUAAUACCGCAUACGACCUGAGGGUGAAAGCGGGGGAUCGCAAGACCUCGCGCGACAGGAGCGGCCGAUAUCGGAUUAGCUAGUUGGUGAGGUAAAGGCUCACCAAGGCGACGAUCCGUAGCGGGUCUGAGAGGACGACCCGCCACACUGGAACUGAGACACGGUCCAGACUCCUACGGGAGGCAGCAGUGGGGAAUUUUGGACAAUGGGGGCAACCCUGAUCCAGCCAUUCCGCGUGAGUGAAGAAGGCCUUCGGGUUGUAAAGCUCUUUCGGCAGGAACGAAACGGUGGUCCCUAAUACGGGCUACUAAUGACGGUACCUGAAGAAGAAGCACCGGCUAACUACGUGCCAGCAGCCGCGGUAAUACGUAGGGUGCGAGCGUUAAUCGGAAUUACUGGGCGUAAAGCGUGCGCAGGCGGUUCGCCAAGUCAGGUGUGAAAUCCCCGGGCUUAACCUGGGAAUUGCGCUUGAAACUAGCGGGCUUGAGUGUGGCAGAGGGGGGUGGAAUUCCACGUGUAGCAGUGAAAUGCGUAGAGAUGUGGAGGAACACCGAUGGCGGAGGCAGCCCCCUGGGUCAACACUGACGCUCAUGCACGAAAGCGUGGGGAGCAAACAGG